rnacentral:lncRNA from 1 species
UUACGAAAAUCAGGAUUUUUGCAUUUUUUGCCGUCGCAUUGUUUCGAAACUUAUUCGGUCAAAUUUUAUGGUGAAGAGAAACUUACCGCGAAGAUUUUGAGCAUAUAUAUGAUUGAAUUGGAUGAAAAAUCGCAAAAUUAUCCAGCGAUAAAAGUUCGUGUGAAAUGGUCAGUUCGUCAUUUGGAGCGUUUUAUUGCCCGAAAUACUGUGCUAUGUUAACAUCUAGCAUUGUGAAUGAUGUUUUAUAUUUGCAUCUCUCAUCAUCAUCUGUUCUGUCCUCAUAAUUAUGAAAAAUGAACUGUUAUGUACCCCCCCCCCCCUCCUUGCUUGUUAGAGAAGUAAACUGGUGAGAGCACUGGAUGAAGGUCUAUCAUCUAUGGUCUGUUAUAAGUUGCUUUUUAUGCAAAUAGUGAGCAAAAAUUAAAGCGAAACUGUACAAGUUACAUAUAUAGUACUAUAUCAGUACUAUACACGAACUUUUCUCGAUGGAUAAUUUUGCGAGUUUUCAUCCAAUUCAAUCAUAUAUAUGCUCAAAAUCUUCGCGGUAAGUUUCUCUUUACCAUAAAAUUUGACCGAAUAAGUUUCAAAACAAUGCGACGGCAAAAAAUGCAAAAAUCCUGAUUUUCGUAAUAGAAUUUAUAGUCUUUUGCCCUGUUGUACUGCCAUCUUGGAUUUAUCAUGUAGGCCCCGCCUGCGCUGGGUAUGCGUUAGCAAUCUAGAUCUCCUAUAUCUAUGGUA